rnacentral:rRNA from 1 species
AUACGGAGGGUGCAAACGUUGUUCGGAAUUACUGGGCGUAAAGGGCACGCAGGCGGCCUGGGAAGUCUUGGGUGAAAGCCCCCAGCUCAACUGGGGAAUGGCCUGAGAAACCACUGGGCUGGAGUGCUGGAGAGGGAAGCGGAAUUCCCGGUGGAGCGGUGAAAUGCGUAGAUAUCGGGAGGAACACCAGAGGCGAAGGCGGCUUCCUGGACAGACACUGACGCUGAGGUGCGAAAGCUAGGGGAGCAAACGGAAUUAGAAACCCCGGUAGUCC